UUCCUGUUGGUCCAGUGGUUAAGAAUCCAGCUUCCAAAGCAGGGGACUCAGGUUCAAUCCCUGGUCGGGGAA
rnacentral:tRNA from 1 species